UAAAGAGGCAUACGGCAUGGGA
rnacentral:miRNA from 1 species